UACGUAGGGUGCGAGCGUUAAUCGGAAUUACUGGGCGUAAAGAGCGCGCAGGCGGUCGUUCAAGUCGAGUGUGAAAGCCCCCGGCUCAACUGGGGAGGGUCAUUCGAUACUGAUCGACUCGAAGGCAGGAGAGGGAAGUGGAAUUCCCGGUGUAGUGGUGAAAUGCGUAGAUAUCGGGAGGAACACCAGUGGCGAAGGCGGACUUCCUGGCCUGUUCUUGACGCUGAGGCGCGAAAGCUAGGGGAGCAAACGGGG
rnacentral:rRNA from 1 species